rnacentral:SRP_RNA from 1 species
CGAAAGGCCUUGAGGCAAUGGCAGCCUUUCGAAUUGUGUCAGGUCCGGAAGGAAGCAGCACUAAGGAUCGUUUGUCAUGUGCCUUAAGUUUUUGAGCA